rnacentral:rRNA from 1 species
CCUACGGGAGGCAGCAGUGAGGAAUAUUGGUCAAUGGACGAGAGUCUGAACCAGCCAAGUAGCGUGAAGGAUGACUGCCCUAUGGCUUGUAAACUUCUUUUAUCAGGGACUAAAACGAGGCACGUGUGCCUUUUUGCAUGUACUUUAUGAAUAAGAAUCGGCUAACUCCGUGCCAGCAGCCGCGGUAAUACGGAGGAUCCGAGCGUUUUCCGGAUUUUUUGGGUUUAAGGGGUGCGUAGCUGGGUGGUUAAGUAAGUUGGGAAAGUUUGGGGCACAACCGGAAAAGUGCAAUUGAUACUGGCAGUCUUGAGUACAGGUGAGGUAGGCGGAAUGCGUGGUGUAGCGGUGAAAUGCUUAGAUAUCACGAAGAACCCCGAUUGCGAAGGCAGCUUACUAAACUGUGACUGACAUUGAUGCUCGAAAGUGUGGGUAUCAAACAGGAUUAGAUACCCGAGUAGUC